GAUGAACGCUGGCGGCGUGCCUAAUACAUGCAAGUCGAGCGAACAGACGAGGAGCUUGCUCCUCUGACGUUAGCGGCGGACGGGUGAGUAACACGUGGAUAACCUCCCUAUAAGCCUGGGAUAACUUCGGAAAACCGGAGCUAAUACCGGAUAAUAUAUUGAACCGCAUGGUUCAUUAUUGAAAGACGGUUUUGCUGUCACUUAUAGAUGGAUCCGCGCCGCAUUAGCUAGUUGGUAAGGUAACGGCUUACCAAGGCAACGAUGCGUAGCCGACCUGAGAGGGUGAUCGGCCACACUGGAACUGAGACACGGUCCAGACUCCUACGGGAGGCAGCAGUAGGGAAUCUUCCGCAAUGGGCGAAAGCCUGACGGAGCAACGCCGCGUGAGUGAUGAAGGUCUUCGGAUCGUAAAACUCUGUUAUUAGGGAAGAACAAAUGUGUAAGUAACUAUGCACGUCUUGACGGUACCUAAUCAGAAAGCCACGGCUAACUACGUG
rnacentral:rRNA from 1 species